ensembl:lncRNA
AUGAGGAUGGCCACUCUCAUUUGCUUAAGUGGACUGUUUUCAAUUCCUAUUGUUAGAGAAGUGAGUGUCAAAGAACUGGCUAUUCAAGAGAGUAUUGGAGAUUCUGGCCGGCAGAGAUUCUUUGGAGACCAGGUGGAAAGUGAAGUGCGGAGUCAGGGAGAAAUGCUCAUGCCUUCUGCAGACCAAUUAUUUCAUACCACAACACCCAAAACCCAUAUCAACUGCCAUCAUCAAACAGAGAAAAAGACCCUAAGAAGCUUGGUGAGUGAUAACAUAACAGAACAGAAAACAAAUUUCCUGAACACAGAAAAUGAAGUCUCCCUGAAGGAAGGCAAAAGACAAAAAAGAGAGACUAAAAUACAGGAGCAUGUGAACAAAUGA